CAGCCGCCGCGGUAAUACCGGCGGCCCGAGUGGCGGUUACUAUUAUUGGGCUUAAAGCGUCCGUAGCCGGGUUGGGAAGUCCUCCGGGAAAUCUGGCCGCUUAACGGUCAGAAUGCCGGAGGAUACUCCCAGCCUAGGGAGCGGGAGAGGCCGAGGGUAUUCCCGGAGUAGGGGUGAAAUCCUAUAAUCCCGGGAGGACCACCUGUGGCGAAGGCGCUCGGCUGGAACGCGUCCGACGGUGAGGGACGAAGGCCAGGGGAGCAAACCGGAUUAGAUACCCGGGUAGUCCUGGCUGUAAACGAUGCGGACUUUGUGUCGGACAAGCUAUGAGCUUGUCCGGUGCCGGAGGGAAACCGUUAAGUCCGCCGCCUGGGGAGUACGGCCGCAAGGCUGAAACUUAAAGGAAUUGGCGGG
rnacentral:rRNA from 1 species